AGUUUAGUAUCUGUUCAGGCUGAAACUGCACAGGUGUGUUCACUUAUUCAGCCUGAUUACAGACUGAGUCAGGGUCUAAUCAGCAUCAACACCUGUGUGAGCUGCUAAGAGUCAGUGAAUAUUGUGAGCCAUUUCAACUAUUUGCCAAUUAUCAGUUUAAGUGAACUAACCUUUUUGCGCUUACGCAUUUUCUUUUUGCCCUUUGUACUACAUUGACUCAUUAAAUCAGAAAAUGUAAUAGAAUUUGUCACAUCAAAAAUCUAUUCUUCAGCAUCAAGUAUUCUGGUUAUGAUGUUAUGUCGUUUUUGAGAAUCCAUACUAUUGGAUAUUUGAUUUUUACUCAGGCAAAAUGUUAUUAUUUCCGUCAUGAAUUCCUUUUUUGAUGAGGUGAAUUUAAAAUAUAUAUUCUUGAUCUUGAAAUGAUUCAAUAAAUCACCCACUUUUUUAUGAACUGCUUGACAAGUAAAAAAAAAUACGUAAAAAAAGUCAAAUUUUGAAAUUUUAAAUAAAGGUAAUGAUCCAUGGAUCAUUAAGAAUUGCAUUGAUGUUAUCCGAGAUCAAAACUUGGAUUUUGUAAAUAGAAAUGUAUUCUUGGUUAAAAGAAAAAAGAAAAGAAAGCUAAAACAUUGCAGAUGCCAGGAGCUUCAGUUCGACCUAUGUUUGUGUUCACUUGUGAUUUGUCAGCACAGCGUUGUGUUGUGGUUUUUUUGUUCCAACUCAGACAAGGAGAGCAGCGGAUCCUGUCAGUAUGCAAGUGUUUCAGUGUGUGAAUUCCUGUUUGUCUGCGGAGCGUCUCGGUGCAGAAAACAAAUCACGUUUUAAAAAGGGCUUUUCUGAAGCAUUCAAAGUUCCAAUGGCUGUGAUUUCUGGAAGAUAUUUAUUUCCUGUUCGAGACAUCAAGUGUGCGCUGUAGGUCGGGAUUCUGCACCAUGAGGUGUCCAGCAUUUAAGAAACAAACUGCACAUUUCUUAAUGAUAGUACAGUAGAUGAUGUAUGAAGGAACCACAAUAAUUUUCUGUAUCCCAAAAUAAACAUUCAGAUGCAAUAAAACUUCAUUUGGAGCAAACUUACACUAACAUGAGGAGGGCAUGUAAGAUCAAAUAGUACGCUACUAAAAACAAAACAAAGCUCUGUGUAUUAUCUCUCAGAAACUGAGUGUUUUCUCUGUCAUGUGUUAUUUAGUCCUUCCAUGUUUUUCAUGAAGUGUGAAUUAACACAUUGUGAUCGUCCAACACUAGCUAAAGAGUGGCGGACCUGCAGAACCUUAAAACAACUGAGUUAGGAUGAAUGGAUGUGUGUUGGCGGUUAGGGUAGUUGCAGCAGUUAGCGUGCCUAAAGCAGAGGUUAUCAACUGUUUUUUCAGCCGAGGCUAAAUGAAAUACAGAAGAGAAGAGGGGUUUUGGGGUAAAAGUUUGCAUGCCGCCACAGAGGAAGGACAUCCUGGUAGUCUCAACUCUCUCUGCCAAAGAAAUUUCCAGCCUGUCGAUCAAUAAAGCCUCAGACAUGAAUCCAUUCAGGGUGUUUUGGGGGACGAAGCUGCACGUUCUACACUUUGUAUUUGUAAGUUUCUGGGGAACAGUGAGUACAGAACCACUUUCAUUAUUCAGUGAUGGUUUCCAGACAUUUUUGUCUUAGGAUAGGACUGAAACAGUUGCAUUUGUUUCCUCUCUGCUUCAUUAGUUGACGUGUUUCUAUUAAAUCCUGCAGUUAAGAGUAUGAGGCUUUUUGCUGACCAGCAGGCGGCGCCAGCUGCUGUCAAACGUGCAUCAACUGCAGCUGAUCUGUAACUGAUUUAAUUUACAGUGUUUAAUAAAAAGGAUGCAAAACUG